AUUUAUUUAUUUAUUUAUUUUUAUUUUUUGAGUUUGCUGGAUUUUAUAUUUUUUGGAAAUAAUAUUGAACAUAAUCUACAAUUCCUUGGAGAUAAUAUCUUUUUGGAGGUGGAGAAUGUUCCUUUUGGCUGGUUUGUGGGCUAUUUGGGCCGAAAGGAAUAAUGGAUGUUUCCAAGAUAAAUGUGGUUCCUCCGUAACUGUUUUCUCUUCGGCCCUUGCCAAUGUAGUCCUUUGGGUUGGGCUGCAGCCCUUGUAAUUUUUUUUGCUUCCUCUUUCUGUCUUUUUUGUUGUUUGUUGCUCUUUUUCUUUCGGCUUUGCUGUUUUUAAUAAAGUUGUCAUCUUUCAAUAAAAAUAAAAAAUCUGCAAUUCCUUCAUUGGAUUUUGUUGCAUCAAACAACUCACAAUUGCCUCAUGAAGACAUUAUGAUAUUAUAUUCUAGUAUUGUAAUGAUUCAUCCAUUUCAAUCAUUUAAUUCUUUCUCAAUUUUGACUCUUUUACGUAUUGUUAUAGAAACUAAAAGGGGGAGUGGUAGAGGCCCAUCCUUCUUGGAUGGCUCUGAUCAAAAUGAAGAACAAAAACUAGGUGUAGCAGAAAACACUGAUGGUGAAGAACAUGUUGAUGGUGAUAAUGGACAGCCUGUUGAGGAAAAUGUCGAAGUAGAUUACUCGAAUCUUACUAGGGGACAGAAGAAACUGUUUGAAUUGAGGCUUUAAUGUAAAUUCAUUAUUUUAAGUUGCGUUUGGUUGCACAAAAUAUCAUGCAAUUUCAUGAUAUUUUGCAACAAAUGAGGCUGCUUAAUCAUGAAAUAACAUGGAAUCUCAGAUAUUUGGAGCACCCAAAUGCAGCCUUAGAUAUCAUUCAUCAUAUUAAGGCAAUUAGUAGCGAGUCCCGUGGAAAUGCAUGAGUCGUGUUGAAAAAACUACAUGAUUAACAGGCUGUUAACAGAUAUAUCGAUGAAAUGGUAGCAGAUCUUGUCCCUGGAGUCCUAUUGAUUGAUGAGGUUCACAUGCUCGAUAUGGAAUGCUUUUCAUACCUUAACCACGCCCUAGAAAGCUCACUAUCACAAAUACUAAUUUUUGCUACAAACAGAGGAAUAUGCAAUGUCAGGCGAACUGAUAUGAGCAGUCCACAUGGCAUACAUGUUGGCCUGUUAGACCAUCUUGUGAUUAUACGGACAUAAACUUACGGUCCAGCUGACAUGAUACAGGUUCAUGCUCAGUUACUUCUUUGUUUCUGUAAAAAUGUAUAAUCUACUCUUUGUAGACUUGAAUCAUUUGGAUUAUUGUGCUUCAGGAGUGUGAUGGAGAUACACACGGGGUAUUAUCAAACAUUGU